rnacentral:rRNA from 1 species
UACGAAGGGGGCUAGCGUUGCUCGGAAUCACUGGGCGUAAAGCGCACGUAGGCGGCCUCAUAAGUCGGAUGUGAAAGCCCGGGGCUCAACCCCGGAACUGCCCUCGAAACUAGAUAGCUAGAAUCUUGGAGAGGCGAGUGGAAUUCCGAGUGUAGAGGUGAAAUUCGUAGAUAUUCGGAAGAACACCAGUGGCGAAGGCGGCUCACUGGACUGGUACUGACGCUGAUGCGCGAAAGCGUGGGGAGCAAACAGG